rnacentral:rRNA from 1 species
AUGAACGCUGGUGGCGUGCCUAACACAUGCAAGUCGAACGGAGUUUAACGCUGAUGAAGCUUCGGCAGAAUCUUGUUAAACUUAGUGGCGGACGGGUGAGUAACGCGUGGGCAACCUGCCUCAUACAGGGGGAUAGCAGUUGGAAACGACUGAUAACACCGCAUAAGCGCACAGGAUCGCAUGAUCUAGUGUGAAAAUAUUUAUAGGUAUGAGAUGGACCCGCGUCUGAUUAGCUAGUUGGUGAGGUAACGGCCCACCAAGGCGACGAUCAGUAGCCGGCCUGAGAGGGCGGACGGCCACAUUGGGACUGAGACACGGCCCAAACUCCUACGGGAGGCAGCAGUGGGGGAUAUUGCACAAUGGGCGAAAGCCUGAUGCAGCGACGCCGCGUGAGUGAAGAAGUAUUUCGGUAUGUAAAGCUCUAUCAGCAGGGAAGAAAGACCUCGUAAGAGGGGAUGACGGUACCUGAGUAAGAAGCCCCGGCUAACUACGUGCCAGCAGCGGC